CUCAAUUCAAUCUUAAUUUAAUCGUAGUUAAAAUCCUAUUAGACUUCAUUCAAAUUUUAGGCCAAAAACUAACUAAAUCUUAAAUCCUAAAUAAAUUCAAAUAAAACUCUAAAUCCUAAAUCAAAUCCUAAUUAAAUUCUAAAUCCUAAAUCAAAUUCUAACCAACUUAGAACCAAAUCCUAAAUCCUAAACCAAAUUCUAAUCCUAAAUCAAACCCUAAUCAAACUCUAAAUUCUUAAUCAAAUCUUAAUCAAAUCUUAAUCCUAAAUCAAAUCCUAACCAAAUCUUAAAUCCUAAACCAAAUUCUAAUCAAAUCCUAACCCUAAAUCAAACCCUAAUCAAAUCCUAAAUCCUA
rnacentral:lncRNA from 1 species